rnacentral:sRNA from 1 species
CCCUCUCUCUAUAAGGGCUUUCCAUCUGUCUGCUGUGUUGUUUUCAUCAUAAAUAUUCACCUAGUAUCCAUAUGUUCAGCAUCUACUUUGUCAAUCUCAUGAAUGCUCAGUGAGGCUGGCCCAGUUUUUGGUUAAAUUUGUCCUGGGUCUCUAGGGAUUUAUGAAGGAUUCCUAUGUUACAGCCCUUCCUGGCUUUUGAAACACCAAUAUGCAGUUCUUUCAAGGAGAGAUACCCUUUUUGAAUAAUUAUAUUCCUGUAUCUGUAUCUGUAUCUGUAUCUUUAUUUACAUCUCAUUGAUUCUGUUUUCAAUGGUUUGAAGCGAUUUUCUAUCAAAGGGUAAAUCGAAUGAUUCGUCAAAGGGGAAUUUGGGUUCUUUUACUAUGUAAGU